rnacentral:lncRNA from 1 species
GACAUCUGUUGGGGUGACAUCGGUGGGGGUGACAGCAGAAGUGAUGCCUGUUGAGGUGACAGCAGUGGAGGUGACAUCUGUGGGUGUGACAGCAGUGGAGGUGACAUCAGAGGAGGUAGCAGAAGUGGACGUGACAUCAGUGGGGAUGACAGCAGUGGAGGUGACCUCGGUGGCAGUGAUGGCACUUGUGGUUACAGCUGAGGAAGUGACAUCGGUGGGGGUGACAGCAGUGGACGUGAAGCCGGAAGAGGUGACAUCAGUGGAGGUAGCAGAAGUGGAGGUGACAUCUGUAGGGGUGAUGCCAGUGGAGGUGACAUCUGUGGGAGUGACAGCAGUGGAGGUGACACCAGAAGUGAUGCCUGUUGAGGUGACAUCAGUGGAGGUAGCAGAAGUGGAGGUGACAUCAGUGGAGGUAGCAGAAGUGGAGGUGACAUCAGUGGAAGUGACACCAGUAGAGGUGACAUCUGUGGGUGUGACAGCAGUGGAGGUGACGCCAGCAGAGGUGACAGUUGUGGAGGUUUCAAGUGUGGAGGUGACAUCAGUGGAGGUAGCAGUAGUGGAGGUGACAUCUGUGGGGGUGAUGCCAGUGGACGUGACAGCAGUAGAGGUAGCAGAAGAGGAGGUGACAUCUGUGGGGGUGACAGCAUUGGAGGUGGAUCCAGUGGAGGUGACACCAGAAGAGGUGACAGCAGUAGAUGUUUCAGCAGUGCUGGUGAUGCCAGUGGAGGUGACAUCUGAGGAGGUGACAUCUGUGGCAGUGAUGCCAGUGGAAGUGGCCCCAGUAGAGGUGACAGCAGUGGAGGUGACACCAGAAGUGAUGCCAGUGGAGGUGACAGCAGUGGAGGCAGCAGAAGUGGAGGUGACAUCUGUGGGGGUGACAGCAGUGGAGGUGACAUCUGUGGUAGUGGCACCAGUGGAGGUGACACCAGAAGAGGUGACAGCAGUAGAGGAUACAGCAGUGCUGGUGAUGCCAGUGGGGGGGGCAUCUGAGGAG